AACUAGUAGUUUAAGUUUAAAAAUUUUAGUUUUGGAGACUAUAGAUAAAUAAUUUUUAGUUGAU
rnacentral:tRNA from 1 species